rnacentral:pre_miRNA from 1 species
GCCAGGAAGAGGAAGAAAGAGAAUACCUAAGAGCAGUGGGAAUGGGAACAUGGAGGAAAGCACAACAACUGUCUGUUUUUUCCCCUCAAGAAUUGGAUGCAGACAUUUGUCUGUGUUUUCCUGGUGCCUCCCAUUCCUACAGUUCUUAGGUGCUCCUCCCUCUUCCUCGGACCU